rnacentral:rRNA from 1 species
GAUGAACGCUGGCGGCGUGCCUAAUACAUGCAAGUCGAGCGAACAGACGAGGAGCUUGCUCCUCUGACGUUAGCGGCGGACGGGUGAGUAACACGUGGAUAACCUACCUAUAAGACUGGGAUAACUUCGGGAAACCGGAGCUAAUACCGGAUAAUAUAUUGAACCGCAUGGUUCAAUAGUGAAAGACGGUUUUGCUGUCACUUAUAGAUGGAUCCGCGCCGCAUUAGCUAGUUGGUAAGGUAACGGCCUACCAAGGCAACGAUGCGUAGCCGACCUGAGAGGGUGAUCAGCCACACUGGAACUGAGACACGGUCCAGACUCCUACGGGAGGCAGCGGUAGGGAAUCUUACGCAAUGGGAGAAAGCCUGACGGAGCAACGCCGCGUGAGUGAUGAAGGUAUUCGGAUCGUAAAACUCUGUUAUUAGGGAGGAACAAAUGUGUAAGUAACUAUGCACGUCUUGACGGUACCUAAUCAGAAAGCCACGGCUAACUACGUG